rnacentral:rRNA from 1 species
CCUACGGGAGGCAGCAGUGAGGAAUAUUGGUCAAUGGCCGGGAGGCUGAACCAGCCAAGUCGCGUGAGGGAAGACGGCCCUACGGGUUGUAAACCUCUUUUGUCAGGGAGCAAGGGGCGGGUCGAGACCAGCUGUGAGAGUACCUGAAGAAAAAGCAUCGGCUAACUCCGUGCCAGCAGCCGCGGUAAUACGGAGGAUGCGAGCGUUAUCCGGAUUUAUUGGGUUUAAAGGGUGCGUAGGCGGUCUGUUAAGUCAGCGGUAAAAUUGCGGGGCUCAACCCCGUCGAGCCGUUGAAACUGGCAGAC